rnacentral:rRNA from 1 species
AGAGUUUGAUCCUGGCUCAGGACGAACGCUGGCGGCGUGCUUAACACAUGCAAGUCGAGCGAUGAAACACCUUCGGGUGUGAAUUAGCGGCGAACGGGUGAGGAACACGUGAGAAAUCUGCCUUCAACACUGGGAUAACUCCGGGAAACCGGGGCUAAUACCGGAUAUGAAAUCUGCGGGCAUCCGCGGAUUUGGAAAGUUUUUCGGUUGAAGAUGAUCUCGCGGCCUAUCAGCUUGUUGGUGAGGUAAUGGCUCACCAAGGCGACGACGGGUAGCCGGCCUGAGAGGGCGACCGGCCACACUGGGACUGAGACACGGCCCAGACUCCUACGGGAGGCAGCAGUGGGGAAUAUUGGGCAAUGGAGGAAACUCUGACCCAGCGACGCCGCGUGCGGGAUGAAGGCCUUCGGGUUGUAAACCGCUUUCAGCAGGGAAGAAGCGAAAGUGACGGUACCUGCAGAAGAAGCACCGGCUAACUAUGUGCCAGCAGCCGCGGUAAUACAUAGGGUGCAAGCGUUGUCCGGAAUUAUUGGGCGUAAAGAGCUCGUAGGUGGUUCGUCACGUCGGAUGUGAAACUCUGGGGCUUAACCCCAGACCUGCAUUCGAUACGGGCGAGCUUGAGUAUGGUAGGGGAGUCUGGAAUUCCUGGUGUAGCGGUGGAAUGCGCAGAUAUCAGGAGGAACACCAAUGGCGAAGGCAGGACUCUGGGCCAUUACUGACACUGAGGNGCGAAAGCGUGGGGAGCGAACAGGANNAG